CUAAUAUUACUCCUGCUGCAUUAUUCAGACAGACACAGAAGGGUGCACACACACUCAAGCACAUGCACAAACACACAUAAGUUUGCCAUAGCCCACUUCAGGUUACUAGCCAGGGUAGCACAAUGGUGUAUGCGGAGGACAACUAGCUUCCGUCCUCCUCUGGGUACAUUUAGCCUACUCAAACACCCGGCUCAAACAGAGGGAUGCUAUGUUAGUUAGCUGGCUAUGACUAUCCAAAACUGGAGCUCUUCUAGGUCAAGCUAAGUCCCCUCCUGUUCCCUGAUUAAGCCAUGAUGGCCCUCUCCACUCCACUACCAGUGUCAACACUCUCCUGACAUGAACUGAAGCCAUGUCUCAUGUGCCCUCUCAUCCACUGGUGCAUUGAAUGUUUCAUCUCCAUGCACUUCAAAUCUUGUCCUGCCCUCAGUGGAAGAGUUGAGCUCUUCUCCAACACCAUCCAUCCAUGAUGAGCCUGUCCUGCACUGAAGCCUCUGAACACCUCAACCCCUGUCCUGGACUGAAGUCAAGCCUCCGAACACACCCCAACUCAUAGUCUCAUUCAAUCACUGCUGUGAUAUCUUCCUAACACUAAGUAGUCAUCUCAUUGCCCAUAAUAUUUUAAUAUACAUGUCUUUAUUAAAUGUUUUAGGUUAAAAUCAUUUCUUUUUUAAAACACGCAUUAUCACUUC